UACGUAGGGACCAAGCGUUGUUCGGAUUUACUGGGCGUAAAGGGCGCGUAGGCGGCAAUUCAAGUCAUCUGUGAAAUCUCCGGGCUUAACUCGGAACGGUCAGAUGAUACUGCUUUGCUAGAGUGCGGAAGGGGCAAUCGGAAUUCUUGGUGUAGCGGUGAAAUGCGUAGAUAUCAGGAGGAACACCAAUGGCGAAGGCAGAUCUCUGGGCCGUAACUGACGCUGAGGAGCGAAAGCAUGGGGAGCGAACAGG
rnacentral:rRNA from 1 species